GGCCCCGUAGCUCAACUUGGUUAGAGUACCAGACUGUCGAUCUGGGUGUUGAGGGUUCGAGUCCCUUCGGGGUCGCCA
rnacentral:tRNA from 1 species